rnacentral:rRNA from 1 species
AUUGAACGCUGGCGGCAGGCCUAACACAUGCAAGUCGAGCGGAUGAGAAGAGCUUGCUCUUCGAUUCAGCGGCGGACGGGUGAGUAAUGCCUAGGAAUCUGCCUGGUAGUGGGGGACAACGUUUCGAAAGGAACGCUAAUACCGCAUACGUCCUACGGGAGAAAGCAGGGGACCUUCGGGCCUUGCGAUAUCAGAUGAGCCUAGGUCGGAUUAGCUAGUUGGUGAGGUAAUGGCUAACCAAGGCGACGAUCCGUAACUGGUCUUAGAGGAUGAUAAGUCACACUGGAACUGAGACACGGUCCAGACUCCUACGGGAGGCAGCAGUGGGGAAUAUUGGACAAUGGGCGAAAGCCUGAUCCAGCCAUGCCGCGUGUGUGAAGAAGGUCUUUGGAUUGUAAAGCACUUUAAGUUGGGAGGAAGGGCAGUAAGUUAAUACCUUGCUGUUUUGACGUUACCGACAGAAUAAGCACCGGCUAACUCUGUGCCAGCCGCCGCCGUAAGAC